rnacentral:rRNA from 1 species
AGCGUACACGGUGGAUGCCCUGGCAGUCAGAGGCGAUGAAGGACGUGCUAAUCUGCGAUAAGCGUCGGUAAGGUGAUAUGAACCGUUAUAACCGGCGAUUUCCGAAUGGGGAAACCCAGUGUGUUUCGACACACUAUCAUUAACUGAAUCCAUAGGUUAAUGAGGCGAACCGGGGGAACUGAAACAUCUAAGUACCCCGAGGAAAAGAAAUCAACCGAGAUUCCCCCAGUAGCGGCGAGCGAACGGGGAGGAGCCCAGAGCCUGAAUCAGUGUGUGUGUUAGUGGAAGCGUCUGGAAAGGCGCGCGAUACAGGGUGACAGCCCCGUACACAAAAAUGCACAUGCUGUGAGCUCGAUGAGUAGGGCGGGACACGUGGUAUCCUGUCUGAAUAUGGGGGGACCAUCCUCCAAGGCUAAAUACUCCUGACUGACCGAUAGUGAACCAGUACCGUGAGGGAAAGGCGAAAAGAACCCCGGCGAGGGGAGUGAAAAAGAACCUGAAACCGUGUACGUACAAGCAGUGGGAGCACGCUUAGGCGUGUGACUGCGUACCUUUUGUAUAAUGGGUCAGCGACUUAUAUUCUGUAGCAAGGUUAACCGAAUAGGGGAGCCGAAGGGAAACCGAGUCUUAACUGGGCGUUAAGUUGCAGGGUAUAGACCCGAAACCCGGUGAUCUAGCCAUGGGCAGGUUGAAGGUUGGGUAACACUAACUGGAGGACCGAACCGACUAAUGUUGAAAAAUUAGCGGAUGACUUGUGGCUGGGGGUGAAAGGCCAAUCAAACCGGGAGAUAGCUGGUUCUCCCCGAAAGCUAUUUAGGUAGCGCCUCGUGAAUUCAUCUCCGGGGGUAGAGCACUGUUUCGGCAAGGGGGUCAUCCCGACUUACCAACCCGAUGCAAACUGCGAAUACCGGAGAAUGUUAUCACGGGAGACACACGGCGGGUGCUAACGUCCGUCGUGAAGAGGGAAACAACCCAGACCGCCAGCUAAGGUCCCAAAGUCAUGGUUAAGUGGGAAACGAUGUGGGAAGGCCCAGACAGCCAGGAUGUUGGCUUAGAAGCAGCCAUCAUUUAAAGAAAGCGUAAUAGCUCACUGGUCGAGUCGGCCUGCGCGGAAGAUGUAACGGGGCUAAACCAUGCACCGAAGCUGCGGCAGCGACACUGUGUGUUGUUGGGUAGGGGAGCGUUCUGUAAGCCUGUGAAGGUGUACUGUGAGGUAUGCUGGAGGUAUCAGAAGUGCGAAUGCUGACAUAAGUAACGAUAAAGCGGGUGAAAAGCCCGCUCGCCGGAAGACCAAGGGUUCCUGUCCAACGUUAAUCGGGGCAGGGUGAGUCGACCCCUAAGGCGAGGCCGAAAGGCGUAGUCGAUGGGAAACAGGUUAAUAUUCCUGUACUUGGUGUUACUGCGAAGGGGGGACGGAGAAGGCUAUGUUGGCCGGGCGACGGUUGUCCCGGUUUAAGCGUGUAGGCUGGUUUUCCAGGCAAAUCCGGAAAAUCAAGGCUGAGGCGUGAUGACGAGGCACUACGGUGCUGAAGCAACAAAUGCCCUGCUUCCAGGAAAAGCCUCUAAGCAUCAGGUAACAUCAAAUCGUACCCCAAACCGACACAGGUGGUCAGGUAGAGAAUACCAAGGCGCUUGAGAGAACUCGGGUGAAGGAACUAGGCAAAAUGGUGCCGUAACUUCGGGAGAAGGCACGCUGAUAUGUAGGUGAAGCGACUUGCUCGUGGAGCUGAAAUCAGUCGAAGAUACCAGCUGGCUGCAACUGUUUAUUAAAAACACAGCACUGUGCAAACACGAAAGUGGACGUAUACGGUGUGACGCCUGCCCGGUGCCGGAAGGUUAAUUGAUGGGGUUAGCGCAAGCGAAGCUCUUGAUCGAAGCCCCGGUAAACGGCGGCCGUAACUAUAACGGUCCUAAGGUAGCGAAAUUCCUUGUCGGGUAAGUUCCGACCUGCACGAAUGGCGUAAUGAUGGCCAGGCUGUCUCCACCCGAGACUCAGUGAAAUUGAACUCGCUGUGAAGAUGCAGUGUACCCGCGGCAAGACGGAAAGACCCCGUGAACCUUUACUAUAGCUUGACACUGAACAUUGAGCCUUGAUGUGUAGGAUAGGUGGGAGGCUUAGAAGUGUGGACGCCAGUCUGCAUGGAGCCGACCUUGAAAUACCACCCUUUAAUGUUUGAUGUUCUAACGUUGACCCGUAAUCCGGGUUGCGGACAGUGUCUGGUGGGUAGUUUGACUGGGGCGGUCUCCUCCUAAAGAGUAACGGAGGAGCACGAAGGUUGGCUAAUCCUGGUCGGACAUCAGGAGGUUAGUGCAAUGGCAUAAGCCAGCUUGACUGCGAGCGUGACGGCGCGAGCAGGUGCGAAAGCAGGUCAUAGUGAUCCGGUGGUUCUGAAUGGAAGGGCCAUCGCUCAACGGAUAAAAGGUACUCCGGGGAUAACAGGCUGAUACCGCCCAAGAGUUCAUAUCGACGGCGGUGUUUGGCACCUCGAUGUCGGCUCAUCACAUCCUGGGGCUGAAGUAGGUCCCAAGGGUAUGGCUGUUCGCCAUUUAAAGUGGUACGCGAGCUGGGUUUAGAACGUCGUGAGACAGUUCGGUCCCUAUCUGCCGUGGGCGCUGGAGAACUGAGGGGGGCUGCUCCUAGUACGAGAGGACCGGAGUGGACGCAUCACUGGUGUUCGGGUUGUCAUGCCAAUGGCACUGCCCGGUAGCUAAAUGCGGAAGAGAUAAGUGCUGAAAGCAUCUAAGCACGAAACUUGCCCCGAGAUGAGUUCUCCCUGACUCCUUGA